CAAAGGCUUGGUCCUGACUUUACUAUCAGCUUUGGCCAAACUUACACAUGCAAGUCUCCGCUCUCCCGUGAGAAUGCCCACAGUCUUCUGCUUGAAGACAAGGAGCUGGUAUCAGGCACACUUCUCUAGCAGCCCAUGACACCUUGCUUAGCCACACCCUCAAGGGAACUCAGCAGUGAUAAACAUUAAGCCAUAAGUGAAAACUUGACUUAGUCAAAGCCAAGAGAGCCGGUAAAACUCGUGCCAGCCACCGCGGUUAUACGAGCGACUCAAGUUGAUAGCUACCGGCGUAAAGAGUGGUUAAGAAUCCCUAAAAAUUAAAGCCGAACACCCUCAGAGCUGUUAUACGUACCCGAGGGUAAGAAGCCCCCCUACGAAAGUGGCUUUAUAAUUCCGACCCCACGAAAGCUGUGAAACAAACUGGGAUUAGAUACCCCACUAUGCCCAGCCCUAAACCUUGAUAGCCUCCCACAACUGCUAUCCGCCCGGGUACUACGAGCAUUAGCUUAAAACCCAAAGGACUUGGCGGUGCUUUAGACCCACCUAGAGGAGCCUGUUCUAGAACCGAUAACCCCCGUUAAACCUCACCCUCUCUUGUUCUUUCCGCCUAUAUACCGCCGUCGUCAGCUUACCCUGUGAAGGCCUUAUAGUAAGCAAAAUCAGUACAACUCAAAACGCCAGGUCGAGGUGUAGCAUAUGAGAGGGGAAGAAAUGGGCUACAUUCUCUAUUACAGAGAACACGAACAAUAUAAUGAAACGUAUAU
rnacentral:rRNA from 1 species